GCCUAUGGUCCAAAAUAGCCCGCAAAUAUCCCCCCAGCCAUAUAAACACUGCAACCGAGCGUCUCCUAACCCUAACCUUCGUUCUUUGCCCCACCUCCACUUCUCUUUGCGGCGGCUGCAUCCUCCUCCUCUAGCGCUCAACCACGGGCCACCCUACUCCUCCGGUUAACCAUCUCUGCCUAGCCCCCUUCUCCUCCAACGCCGCACCUCCUCAAGCUCUCCACCCCGUUCUUCUUUCCCAUGGAGACUCAAUGUCGCGGCCCUGACAACGCCAUGACGGGGCGACCCUGUUGACGGCGGAAACAACAUGGAGGCCGGCCACAUGAGAUCGAGGAUGCACUUGGGCGUGGACCUUCUCGACAGCAGCACCAGUAAGCGUGGCCACACGCAGCCGAUUCUUGGCGUGGAUUGUAUGGUUUUUCCACCGGUUUAUUUCAAAUCUGGCAUAACUCUAUCAAUUUUCGUUUAAAUUCGAUUUGUCAUUUUCGUUUGAAAUAUAUCCGAAAAACCGAAUUUCACCCAGGCCCCGUAAAUUUUGCAAAACGAAAUCCGAAACCUUGAUCGGUAAGCACCCGCGACGCUACCUGCGCCAUUCCCCUCGGUCGCCAUCCGCCUCGGCUGCCGCCUCGAUUCGCCCAUCUCUGAGCACACCGGCUUCCCCGAGCGCCUCACCUUACCACUGUGAGCCUCAGCUCCCCCUUGACCCGUCCCCCUUUUCUUUCCCAUGCCCCGUAGUCGUCCCGUCGCCGGGAUCCGCUCACCGCGCCCCGCUAGCCCCGCCCGCGUGCGCCUGCCCACACCCAUUGCCGCUCGCGUGCGCCCAUCCGCCCGUUGUCGCGCUCCCGAUGUGCCCGCACCUCGCCUAGCCACGCGCCCGCAGGUGCUCGUGCCCGCCUGCUCCCCCACGCGAUGCGGAUUGCCUGCUGUUGCUCCUUAUAGUGUUGCUUUGUUGCCGCUGAGGUUGUGCUGCUAGCUAUUGCUGCUUUGUGGAUGCCGUUCCUCUGCUACUGCUCGUUGCCGCUCGCGCUCGUCACGGCCGCCGCUGCUCGUUGCUACUACCGCUGGUUCCGGCCACGCCUGCACCCACUGCUGCCUCCCCUCGAUGCACGUCGUCGCCCUCGUGCCAUAGACGCUCUCGUCCGACAAAAUGGUCACCGCGGCGGGCCGCUCCGUGCCUCGCCGCCGCCCCUGUAGCUCACCGUUGGCGCGCAUAGCGCGCAUGCGUUUAAACAGCAAUCGUUGCUCACUGACAUGUGGGCCUGACUGGUUUAGAUUAGUGGCUAAUCUAAUUAGCAUCCCUAACAGCCAUUGACAUGUGGGCUUGCAAUGUUAAAUAAUUAUGUUAUAUAACACAUAAGCCACUCACCCGUGGGCCCCACUGCCCUAUUUAACUUGUUUACAUUAAUUAAAUUCCAUUAAUGCUAACUGUCAAUGACAGGUGGGGCCACCCUCCACUAUUCUAGUGGAUAAGGGUUGACCGGUCAGCCGCUGACUCAGCAGCUGGCCCCCACUAUCAGCCACACAUGUGCACUACUGGGUACACUCACUGUGUACCCAUAGCAAUUAAUAUUAAAUUAUUUAUGAAUUUAAAUAAAUCCAAUAAUUCCAGAAUAUUGAUAAAACUUUGAAAAAUCAUAUAAAAUAAUCCGUAACUGGGAUGAAAUAAUUUAUAUAUGAAAAAUGAUCAGAAAAAUAAGACAAAUCCAAAUACACCGUCCACACAUAUGUCACACACCUCUAACACUGCAAACAUGGAACCUUCCCCUCCAAAUUGUUUGACCGAAUAAUACCUGGACCUGGGAAAAUAUUUUCGAAUAUUUUCCCUCUUAUUUUAAAAUGUUUAGUGAUGCAUUAGAGCAUGUCACCCACACAUCUUGUCGUGCCAUUGCAUUUGUGUUGCAUUUGAUUUCUCCGCUAUUUAUUUGUUCCCCAUCUGUUAAUUCUUUUUCGGUAGACCCUGAGACCGUUGUUGAUCCGGUGAUGGACUACUUCACCAUCGAGGGUCUGUAUCUGUCUACAGAGCUUCCAGGCAAGCAAGACCCCCCGUGAUGAUUCCUGUAUCGCCCAUUAUUUCUCUCUCAUGCUUGCAUUAGAUUUUGC
rnacentral:lncRNA from 1 species